rnacentral:misc_RNA from 1 species
AAGUCGUAACAAGGUUUCCGUAGGUGAACCUGCGGAAGGAUCAUCGUUGGAGUGAUACCUGUGGGUAUUUUAAUUUUUACAAUCCCAACCAAAAGGAGAGGAGUUGACUGAGGAGGAUUUGUCUUUUGGAGAAACAAAACUUUCAACAACGGAUAUCUUGGUUCUC